rnacentral:rRNA from 1 species
GCAAGUCGUACGAGAACGUCUCUUCGGAGGCUAGUAAAGUGGCGCACGGGUGAGUAACGCGUGGGUAAUCUGCCCUUAGGUUUGGGAUAACCCCGGGAAACCGGAGCUAAUACCGAAUAAGACCACGAUGACUUCGGUCGAUGUGGGAAAAGGUGGCCUCUCCUUGGAAGCUAUCGCCAAAGGAUGAGCCCGCGUUUGAUUAGCUUGUUGGUGAGGUAACGGCUCACCAAGGCUCCGAUCAAUAGCUGGUCUGAGAGGAUGAUC